UUCUGGGUGAAUUGACAGAUUGAGAGCUCUUUCUUGAUUCGGUGGAUGGUGGUGCAUGUUCGUUCUUAGUUGG
rnacentral:ncRNA from 1 species